AUCUGCCAUGUCAGCAUGUGCUUUUCUUUAAUGUUUGUAACCGGGUAAAGCUGAAGAACUUGCUAAGUGAAUGAUUCUAACAAUCUGCAUCUUUCAUAUAUGCAGGCCAUUGGAAGGGAGGCAGCAGAGUAUGAACUUGGGGAGGCCAAGUACUACGUGGUACUGGUUGGGAUUGCUGCUGGGUUUCAGAUGAUAUUCGUUGUAACUCUUGGCCUCGUCUUCUGCAUUUCAUCUCUCUUUGCUGGAAUCCUUAGCGCCACUCUCCUCCCUUUCACGGAGAUAGCAGGGGUCAUCUUCUUCAAAGAGAAGUUCAAGGAGAGAAGGGAAUGGCCCUGGCUCUCUGCCUUUGGGGCUUCGCCUCUUACUUCUACGGUUCCUACAAGUUGAGUAAGAAACAAGCAGCCCAAGAAGAGGAGGAAUCCAAGUAGCCCUAAAAAUCAAACACAACCAGAAGCAAAUCCAAGUAGCUCUAAAAAUCAAACACAAUUAAUCAAAAGCGAAAGUGGAAUUUGUUUCAAAAUCAUGAUGCGUGUGCAUGGUCUUAAUUAGUCUAUACAUUUUUUGUAACUUGUAUGUAGAUUUCCCCUUCUUGAUUUAUAUUGUUUCUCCUCCUUUUAUAAUUUUUUUAUUCCCAAAAUGAAAAAUAAAUAUGUAACUGAAUGUCGAGAAAUAUUUUUCUUUUGGGUGAAAGUGAAACCAUAUUCACUUAUCAAAAUUUCAUACAGCUUCAUCCCUUGGUUAAAAGAAGGUCAUCCAAGCAAUGUGGUUCACGGGCUUGACCCAUUA